GAUGAACGCUGGCGGCGUGCCUAACACAUGCAAGUCGAGCGAGAAACUUAUGAAUGACACUUCGGUUGAUUACAUAAGCGGAAAGCGGCGGACGGGUGAGUAACGCGUAGGCAACCUGCCCUUUACAGGGGGAUAGCUUCGGGAAACCGGAAUUAAAACCCCAUGACACCUAAGUAACUCCUGUUACCUAGGUCAAAGAUUUAUCGGUAGAGGAUGGGCCUGCGUCUGAUUAGUUAGUUGGUAAGGUAACGGCUUACCAAGGCAUCGAUCAGUAACCGACCUGAGAGGGUAAUCGGUCACAUUGGAACUGAGACACGGUCCAGACUCCUACGGGAGGCAGCAGUGGGGAAUAUUGCACAAUGGGCGAAAGCCUGAUGCAGCAACGCCGCGUGAACGAUGAAGGUUCUAUGAAUCGUAAAGUUCUGUUCUGAGGGAAGAAACAAAUGACGGUACCUCAGGAGCAAGCCCCGGCUAACUACGUGCCAGCCGCCGCAGUAAAAC
rnacentral:rRNA from 1 species